AACGUAGGACACAAGCGUUAUCCGGAGUUACUGGGCGUAAAGGGCGUGUAGGCGGAUCAAUAAGUCUAUUCUGAAAGCUCCUGGCUAAACUGGGAGAGGCGAAUGGAGACUGUUGGUCUAGAGUGAGGAAGAGGAAAGUGGAAUUCCGCGUGUAGUGGUGAAAUGCGUAGAGAUGCGGAGGAACACCGGUGGCGAAGGCGGCAUCCUGGACCGGCAUUGACGCUGAGGAGCGAAAGCCAGGGGAGCAAAGCGGG
rnacentral:rRNA from 1 species